rnacentral:rRNA from 1 species
ACAGAGGGUGCAAACGUUGUUCGGAAUUACUGGGCGUAAAGCGCGUGUAGGCGGUCUAGCAAGUCGGAUGUGAAAGCCCUUGGCUCAACUGAGGAAGUGCAUUCGAAACUGCGAGACUUGAGUGCCGGAGAGGAUGGUGGAAUUCGCGGUGUAGAGGUGAAAUGCAUAGAUAUCGAGAGGAACACCGGUGGCGAAGGCGGCAAGCUGGACCAUAACUGACGCUGAUGCACGAAAGCGUGGGGAGCAAACAG